rnacentral:rRNA from 1 species
GGUAGUGGGGGACAACGUUUCGAAAGGAACGCUAAUACCGCAUACSUCCUACGGGAGAAAGCAGGGGACCUUCGGGCCUUGCGCUAUCAGAUGAGCCUAGGUCGGAUUAGCUAGUUGGUGAGGUAAUGGCUCACCAAGGCGACGAUCCGUAACUGGUCUGAGAGGAUGAUCAGUCACACUGGAACUGAGACACGGUCCAGACUCCUACGGGAGGCAGCAGUGGGGAAUAUUGGACAAUGGGCGAAAGCCUGAUCCAGCCAUGCCGCGUGUGUGAAGAAGGUCUUCGGAUUGUAAAGCACUUUAAGUUGGGAGGAAGGGCAGUAAGAUAAUACC